GACGAACGCUGGCGGCGUGCCUAACACAUGCAAGUCGAGCGGAGCCAAUCAAACAAUCCCUUCGGGGUGCGUUUGAGGAAGCUUAGCGGCGGACGGGUGAGUAACGCGUGAGUAACCUGCCCAUAAGAGAGGGAUAACACAGAGAAAUUUGUGCUAAUACCUCAUAUUGAGUUUUAAUCGCAUGGUUUCAACUUGAAAGAUUUAUCGCUUAUGGAUGGACUCGCGUCUGAUUAGCUAGUUGGUAAGGUAACGGCUUACCAAGGCGACGAUCAGUAGCCGAACUGAGAGGUUGAUCGGCCACAUUGGGACUGAGACACGGCCCAGACUCCUACGGGAGGCAGCAGUGGGGGAUAUUGCGCAAUGGGGGAAACCCUGACGCAGCAACGCCGCGUGAAGGAAGAAGGUUUUCGGAUUGUAAAACUUCUGUUCUUAGGGAAGAAGACAGUGACGGUACCUAAGGAGCAAGCCACGGCUAACUACGUG
rnacentral:rRNA from 1 species